rnacentral:rRNA from 1 species
UACGAAGGGGGCGAGCGUUGUUCGGAUUUAUUGGGCGUAAAGAGCUCGUAGGCGGUCUGUCGCGUCGGAUGUGAAAACCCAGGGCUCAACCCUGGGCCUGCAUUCGAUACGGGCAGACUAGAGUACGGCAGGGGAGACUGGAAUUCCUGGUGUAGCGGUGAAAUGCGCAGAUAUCAGGAGGAACACCGGUGGCGAAGGCGGAUCUCUGGGCCGUAACUGACGCUGAGGAGCGAAAGCAUGGGGAGCGAACAGG